GACGAACGCUGGCGGCGUGCUUAACACAUGCCAGUCGAACGGUGAAGCUCCAGCUUGCUGGAGUGGAUCAGUGGCGAACGGGUGAGUAACACGUGAGCAACCUGCCCCUGACUCUGGAAUAAGCGCUGGAAACGGCGUCUAAUACUGGAUACGAGAAGGGUCCGCAUGGGCACUUUCUGGAAAGUUUUUCGGUUGGGGAUGGGCUCGCGGCCUAUCAGCUUGUUGGUGAGGUAAUGGCUCACCAAGGCGACGACGGGUAGCCGGCCUGAGAGGGCGACCGGCCACACUGGGACUGGGACACGGCCCAGACUCCUACGGGAGGCAGCAGUGGGGAAUAUUGCACAAUGGGCGAAAGCCUGAUGCAGCGACGCCGCGUGAGGGAUGACGGCCUUCGGGUUGUAAACCUCUUUCAGCAGGGAAGAAGCGAAAGUGACGGUACCGGCAGAAGAAGCACCGGCUAACUACG
rnacentral:rRNA from 1 species